rnacentral:lncRNA from 1 species
AUGAAGUAUAUAACAGAAUGCAUUAAUUGUAGCUCUGGACCUGAUUUUAUGCUAUGAGUGUGGUAGCACAAUUAGUUUAAGUCCUGUCAAUAUUUGUGUGGUCUGUUUGUGAAGCAAGUAGACAGCAGUUAAGGCAUUCUGAAACAGCUCUUAAUUCCUUUCUGCAAACAAUGUCAAAGAUAUUUUCAGUCACCAGGAACUUGGGUACAGUGUGCUUUAGAAUUCAUUGCUUUGUGUUUGGAAAAAAAAAAAUCAAAGUUCCCCUGAGUAAAGGAGAGCUGUGGGUGCAGGAUUUGUUUGGUUUGAGCCCAUGCUAAAAGACUUGAAGUUAAAUUGGCUAUUCCGAAAGAGGUGAUGAAUGGUGUUAUCCUUCAGUAAGUAUCUGGGCUGGACUAUGUCAUUUCAUUCCAAAUGUGCUAGAGACUGCCAUAAAACAAAAGCUAAGGAUUACUAGAAGGCUAUGAUUGAGGUCAGGCAAAAGAUGGCACAAAAAUAGAGUUUGUACUAUCUGGAACAGCUGAUUCUGAAUUUGGAAUGCAUCAAAACCCACUUCAUAUCAAAGAAAUUUGUGAUAGGCCGGAUUGUUAUUAUUCUUCAAAACAAUGUAUUCUAAAGAUAGAAUUUCUCCGGUGUAUAGUUCCCUCUAGAUACAAAACAUCCUGAAGAUUCAUCUUUCAGGAUAUCCAUAGUUAUACAUACAAUUCCAAAAACACUUUUCCCCCUGUAGAAAUUGUCAAUCUGUAUUCAAAACUGGUACACACACACACACACACACACACACACACACACACACACAAACUGGUACCAAGCCUGGGAAAUAUGAACUAAGUAUGUAUGAGCAUUCGAGUUACCAUUUAUCUAAUAGAUCCCAACAAGUUGUAGAUAUUGAUAUAAGUAAUUUCUGGAGUCAUCUUGUCAAUAGUUCAUGCCAUCCCAAACAUCUGGAAGAAUUUAUUGUGAAUGGAUGCAGUACAGCCAAGAUCUAAAAUGUAGUGCAUCUUUCAGAAAGCUGUUUUAGAAAUAUAACAUGGAGAAAGUCUGGAUACAAUAAGCAUCUAAAAUAAAUACAAAAUUUUGAAGCCUUCUAUACUUCGAGGUCCCAGUGAUAGGGUUUGAUUUGUUGAACUGUCACUAAAAUGGUGAUCAUGUUAGUAAAAUGAAUUCAGAGUUUCAGAUGUGGUAUUAAUCAACAAGAACUAGAAUUGUACCGGAUCAACACUGUAUGAAGUAAAAACUAAAAGAGCUUGCAACACAUAGAGAACGCAUGGAUCUAGAUGAAUAAAGACAUACUGCGGUUUCCUUGAGGCUCAUGAAGAUGAGGCAAUUAGAAAAAAAGUCAAUAGUUACAGAGAUUCAGCUGUCACUGUGAAGAGUGACAUACAGAACAUGGAAACAUGCCUUGAGUUAGGCCAGGUUGAAAUGCUAAAGAACCCUCAGAUGUCCCAAGAUGCCACUGGUGAAGAGGGAACAUCAAUGAUGA